rnacentral:lncRNA from 1 species
AACAUGACAAAUAUACUAAGGUAGCAGAUCAUUCGUAGUGAAUCACAUUCAGCCACAUCCAAUUGGAUUCCUUGAUCAUGAGUGAAAACCAGUCCUUCCCUCAAAGCUUGGGCCUCUGGCCCACUGCAUCAUCUGUCUCAAAACACUACAUCAGCUACUUUGAUUGUACCGACUCCAUCGUUGUUGCAUGGUACAGCUCCCAAGUUGAUGAACCUAUGUUCUUCGAACCGACACAUCAGUAUUCAACUCGAGUUUGUUGGAAAUUUAUUGUUCAAAAUUAAAGUAAAAAGGGGGGGGGGCUUAAUUAAUAUCCCCAAAUAUACUUCCAUGAAAAACUUGCAAAGGCCUAUAAAUAGGUAAUCAAGUGCAAGAAAGAUAUAUUGAGUUCCAUUAAAAAUUAUCCUCAAAUAUACUUCCAAUAUUGAGAAAAUUUAUCACAUAAUUCUUCUAUUUUCACUUGUUCAUUGUGAAGAAACACCUUUGGUUUUUCGUGUUCUUCUUGUCAAGCCUUAUUUAAUCUUACAAGCUAUUUGUCGAAAAUUCUUAAAAAGCAUUGGAAAGAAGGCAAAUAACGUUUGAGGACAGCGAGAUUAAUUUCGUGUUUAAGCCUUCAUUGAUAUACUUUUAUAAUUUUCUUCUCCAUUGUCAUUAUUUUCAACAAUCUCAAACGUUAUUUGUUACUAUUAUUGCAAAGGAGACGGAAUCUACAAUUGUUACUAUCAAAAUGAUGAAUCAAGAUCUGGUACGCUUGGACAGAUUCGAUGGUGCAAUUUCACAAGAUGGCAAGACAAACUUAAAUUUCGAUUAAUGGCCUUGAAGAUCUUCUAUGUGCUUGAUCCAAAACUGGAUCCCAUUCCCAAUGCAACUGACAAUGAUACCGAAGAAAUUUGCGUAGAAAGGAAGAAACGGGAAGAGGACGAAUUGAUAUGUCGUGGCCAUAUCCUAAAUGCGUUAUCUGAUCGCCUAUAUGAUCUCUACACCAACACUACAUCGAUAAAAGAAAUCUGGUACGCACUAGAAAGUAAAUACAAAUUCGAGGAGGAAGGUACCAAAAAGUUCUUAAUAUCUAAGUAUUUAGAUUUCAAAUUUUUGGAUAAUAUACCAUUAUUGCCUCAAGUGUAUGAGUUACAAAUAAUUGUAAACAAACUAAAAACGGUGAAAAUCGAACUUCCUGAAACUUUCCAAGUGGGAGCUAUUAUCGCUAAACUUCAUGGUUCUUGGAAAGGAUAUAGGAAGAAGAUUCAUCACAAUUCCGAAAACUUUUCUUUGGAAGAUAUACAAAAACAUCUUCGUAUUGAGGAAGAAUCAAUGGCAAGAGAUAAGAUUGAAAAUUCUUAUGAAGGCCCUUCAAAGGCUAAUGCCGUGGACAAUGUGGACAACUCCAAUAAAUUUAAAAAGAAAGGAAAAUUUUUUGGUCCUAGAAAGGAUCAAGGAAAGUUCAAAAAUAAAGUCAAAGGACCUUGCUAUGUUGGUAGAAAAUCGGGACACUAUGCCAAUAAUUGUAGACAUAGAAAACAACAAAAAAAGAAAGAACAAGUGAACUCCAUUGAUGAUUAUCACCACGGUGAGCGAAAUCAAUGCAAUCCAAGGCAAAGUUCCGAGCUGGUGGUAAGAUACAUGCGCUACAAUCCAUAUAUGUUAUGAUAAGUCUCUUUUCAAAACUUAUCAUGACAUUGAAGACAAUCAAGAGAUACAAAUGGAAAAUGAAGAAAGAUCAAAAGUGAUUGGCAAAGGAAAUGUGGAAUUCAUUUUCUCUUCGGGAAAGAAAAUCACUAUGACCAAUGUCUUGCACGUACCAAAAAUAAAUAGAAAUUUAGCAAGUGGUGUACUCUUGGAAAAACAAGGAAUUAAAUCUAUUUUUGAAAAUGGCUAUUCCACCGAAGGAAUGGUCAAAUUAUGUACUAUUGAGGAUAACUCAAAUAAAAUUAAAUCUUUUUGCGUAUGUUACUAAUUCAUUUAAUUUAUGGCAUGGUAGAUUAGCACAUAUAAGAGUUAAUACUAUGAAAAGAAUGAUUAAAUGUGGAUUAAUAUAAUGUGAUGGUGACAAUUUCAAAAAAUGUGAAACAUGUGUUAAAUAAAAAAUAAUUAAAAAGUCAUUUCAUAGCGUAGUAAGAACAACAAGAUCACUUGAACUUGUUCACUCCGACAUAUGUGAAUUGAAUGAAAUGUUAACUAGAGGCGGUAAUAUAUAUUUUAUUACUUUUAUUGAUGAUUGCUCUAGAUAUACAUAUGUGUACUUAUUAAAACAUAAGGAUGAAGCCUUUAGUUCCUUUAAAACUUAUAAGAUUGAAGUAGAAAAUCAAUUAGGAAAAAUAUUAAAAACUUUAAGAAGUGAUAGAAGUGGGAAAUAUUUUUCUAAUAAAUUUAACAUAUUUUGUAAACAAAAUGGAAUAAUACAACAAGCUUCUGCACCUAGAACACCGGAACAUAAUAGAUUAGCAGAAAGAAAGAAUAGAACUAUUUUGGAAAUGAUAAAUGCAAUCUUGUUAAAUUCUAAAUUACCCUUUAAUGUAUGGGGUGAAGCCUUACUUAAUGCUUGCCAUAUAAUAAAUAGGAUUCCUAUAAAAAAGAAUAAAAUUUCUCCAUAUGAAAUUUGGAAAAGUAGAAAACCAAAUAUUAGUUAUUUUAAAGUGUGGAGGUGCCUUAUCUAUUGUAAGAAUAUGGAUCCUAAGAGAAUCAAGUUAGGUCCUAGAGGUAUCAAAUGUGCUUUUGUGGGAUAUGCUCUCAAUAGCAAAGCCUAUAGAUAGGGAUGUCAAAAAGACUCGGUGGCUAGGGCGGCUCGUGGCCCGGCUUGGGAAAAACCCGAGCCCGCCUGGCUCAUGGCUCGUAGAAACUGAGCCUCAAAAUAAGAAGUCGGCCUGAGUUCGAGCAAGCCCAUGUGGCUCGUCGAGCCAGACGACCCGGCUCGUGUCACGAGCCAUUUUUGGCCCGUGACAAUAAUGCUCGGCCCGAGCUAUAUUAAAGGGCAAAAAAAAAUAUUUUUUUUAAAAAAAAAAUCGGCAGCAGGUCAGUGACAGGCAGUAGGUUACAGCUGCCGGCUGGGGCAACUAUAGUUGCAUUUUUUACGAGGUGUAGUUGUGUAGAUUUUGAAAUUCAAAUUUGAAAAAUAACGCGAGUUUUUUGUCUAUAAAUACGGGGUGAUUUUUGAAGUUUUAAAUCACUUUGUUAUCGAUUUUAAUUCGCAUUAUUUCUAUAUUAUAGAUUCAGAUUCAAUCAUUCAAGUUUCAAUUUCUUUCACUCUACAGUUUAAUAUUCAAUAUUUUUUAUUAUACUAGCUAUUAUGGAUUUUACAAGUGAUGAAGUUAAUCAGUUUAGCGGUAGCUCGAGUACUCCAUCUAACUACGAUGCAUGUCAAAAUGUUUCAGUUAAUUUGAAGGAUAUUGAAAAGGAAGAAGUUCAAGUACUCGAGACAAAAAGAAUUAUCGGAUUGUUGGCAACAUAUGACACGUGAAAAAAUUGGUGUUCAAAAUGGAGUAGAUAUUUGGAAAGCAUGUUGCAAUUACUGUGGCAAAGAACUUAGUUGGAAGCCCGGUUCGAGCACAACGCAUUUGAAUAGACACGUAUUAAGGAGUUACAAAGUGAAAUCAGCCGAUCUCGACUCGAAACAGACCAAACUAGUGUUUGGCGGUUCUAAUUUUACUCUUUCCACCUUUUCAUAUUCACAGGAAAGAUUUCAUGAAGGAAUGGCUACAUACGUGGCUGCAACAGAGAUACCGCUUACGAUGAUAUACUCAAUACACUUUACUCGACUCGUGCAGAAAUAUCUUCAACCCAAGUAUUCUUCUUAUUCUAGAAAUACUUUUCGUUCGGAUAGCAUAAAAUUAUAUAACAGAAGAAAACAAGUUACUAUUGAAAGUCUAAAAAGUUUUAAUAGUGUUAUAUCGUUUACUUCUGAUUUAUGGGCUGACUGUAAUAGAAAAUGUUAUAUUGCUGCUACGGCUCAUUAUAUUGAUCACCUGUGGCUUUUACAUAAAAGAAUUAUUGCAUUCAGAUGUGUAGAAUGUCCUCAUAAUGCCACUACCAUAUACAUUGUUUUAAAAAAUAUCAUACAGGAAUAUGGUAUACAAGAUAUGGUUCGAAAUUUUACUUUUGAUAAUGCUGCAGUGAACAAAAUUGUUAUUGAAAGAUUUAUUGCUGAUCUUAACCCCGUAUUUGGAAAUUUAUUUUUUCAUCAACGUUGUGUAUGUCAUAUUAUUAAUUUGAUUGUAAAAGUUGGAUUAGAACAUAUAAUUUCACCUUUAGAUAAAAUUAGACAAGUAAUAAAUUUUAUUACUGUGUCACCAGCAACAAAACAAACAUUUAAUAGUUUGUGUACAUAGUAUGGAUUACAGGAGAAAUCAUUUGCCACUGAUGUAACUCAUAGGUGGAACUCUACAUAUCUUAUGUUACAUUCGUGUGAAAAUUACGAUAAAAUAAUUUCACUAUAUUAUAAUGGUAGGCAUACACUCGGACCCGAACAUAAUUUGGAAGAUUGGGAAUGGACUAUUACAUUUUACAUGAAAAAAUUCUUACAACCUUUUUUCGAUACUACAAAAGAAUGUAGCGGUGUUUAUUACCCUACAUCUUCUCGUGUUUUACAACAUUUUUUCUACAUUUCACAAGUAUUUCAUAAAUAUAGGAAUUUGCCACUUUUUUCUAAUGAAGUCCGCUCUAUAGAGUUAAAAUUUUGUAAAUAUUGGGAAGAGUUGCCUUCUUUAUUUCUUUUAGCUUCAGUAAUGGAUCAUCGACUUAAUUUAAUUGGCACAAAAGCUACUGUAAAGGGGAUAUCAGAUUAUUUGAAUAUAGAAUUAUCACAUGUGCAUAUAGAAUCUUUUUUGUGUGAAAUGUAUAAUUAUUAUACUGAAAAGGUAGGUCAGGGUAGUUCUACUUCCCAAGGUUCUUUUUCAAGAAAUAUCUCAACAAAUUCCGAAAAUUUAUGGAAUUAUUUAGAUAGCAAUACAAGUGUUUCUUCAUUUAAUUCUAGUUCUAAUUCAUCAACAUCUAGAGCAAUCAAUAUUGGUGGUACAAAUCUUGAAAUUCCUUCUGAGUUAGCUAGGUAUAUGUGCGUGGAUGUUCGUAGUGUGUUGCAACCAAAUGAAUUACAAGAAUUUAGUCUUUUAAAUUGGUGGAGGUAUAACGAAAGGCAAUAUCCAAUUGUAUCAAAAAUUGCACGUGAUCUACUAACACCUCCGGUGUCUACAGUAGCAUUAGAGGCUGCAUUCAAUUUAGGUGGUCGAAUUUUAUCAGAUGAACGAUCAAAACUAAAAGAAUAUAUAUUGGAGGCUUUAUAUGCUUGAAGGAUUGGGAAUGUGCGGAAUUACGUGUUCAAGAACAUGUUGAUAGUAUAAUGGUCGAAGAGUUGCAGCAUAUCCAAACAUAGGAUGUUGUAAGUUUUUAAAUUAAUUAUUUUUUUUAAGAAAUGUAUUUUUUAAAUUUAUUUAAUUCAAGAAAAAUUGUAUACGAAAUAUUUUAUUCGUGUACAAUUUUAACUCCGCCUACGUUGAUUGUAGGCGGUCCCAAACCCGAAAAAAGGAGGAGGGUUGUAAUUUGUAACUUUUAUUUAAUUUGUUAUUCGUAUAAAUUACAUAAUUUUGUAAGUUGUACUUUUAUUUAAUUUGUUAUUCGUAUAAAUUACAUAAUUUUGUAAGUUGUACUUUUAUUUAAUUUGUAAUUUGUAUAAAUAAUAGAUGAUGCAAUUUUUAAAUUCUUUAAAAAAAAUGUGAAAAAAAUGUCAUUAAACAAUUUCUUUGCCUUCUACAUUAAACAAAUUGCACUACAACAAUUGGCAUGUGAAAAAAAUGUCAUUAAAAAUUGGCAAAAAAAAUAAUAAAUUAAAAAAUCGAGCUGGCCCGGCUCGUAAAAAGCCCGAGACAAAAGCUUGGGCCAAGCCGUAUUUUUUUGGCCGAGCCAAAGCUCGGCUCGGGCUCGGGCUCGGGCCCGCUAUAAUUUACUCGAGCCGAGCUCGAGGCAGCUCGGCUCGACUCAUUUACAUCCCUACCUAUAGAUUAUUAACUCUCGAAACAGAUGUUAUAAUAAAAUCAAGAGAUAUGAAAUUCUUCGAGGAUAUAAUGGUGGCUAGGAAAUCUGAAAAUAAUAAUAAGGAUAUUUCAAUUUUUAGAAGCUCACCAGAAGAAACAUCCAUAAAAGAUGUUGAAAUUGAACUUCGAAGAAGUAAAACAAAAGAAAAGAACUUAGGAUCAGAUGAAAUAGAUCCCUAACUUAUUUCUUUUUACUUAGUACAAGGAGAUAGGAAGGAUGUUGUAAGAACAAUUCCCUUUGUUGGUGUUUUAUCUUUUUGUAUUUUGGUGAUUUGAUCUUGUUGUUUAGUCAAGAGAAUUAUGUAUUAUGUAAUUGAUCUUCAACGAAGUGUCCUUUUGAAUGAACAGGCUUAACACAUGUUUUGGACGACACAUGCCUUGGCAUUUAUAAUAUAGAGUGUUUGGGGGUUGUAUGAGAGUGUAAAAAAUUUAAAAAUUGAGAACUAGGGUUUAGCCGAAUAAUACAACUGCUCGAACAAUCUCCAAGUGGACAUCAAGCAGUCCUUCUCUGCUGAAAAUGCUUGAGCGGUUAAUCUUCUUGAGUUGUCUUAGAUUUCUUCAAAACACUCCCAAUCCCUCACUCUUUAACUAUAAUUACAACUCAAUAAAUAACAUUUUGAAGAUGAAACUUUGCCAAUACAUUUGGACCUAGCACAUACAUCUAGCCAAAUCAAGAUAUCUCGCUCAAAAUUGAUAUUCACACCCAAUAAAUUUGUUUCGAAACAUUAAAGUGCAAAACAGGAAUGAAACUGCCAUAAGGACACCCUUGUCAUUUUAGUACAAAGAUAACAAUAUUCAUAUUUGAUAACUAUGAUUUACACUUAUUCAAGUUGUCAAAAGGGAAUAUUUUGAACUCAAAUUGAUGGAAUUACUACUUUAUUUUGCUAAAUAUCGAUUGUUAUAAGGCAAAUUCAAUGUUAAAAAGCUAAUGAUGAAAAAAAUGAAAACUGGCCCAAAAGGCUAAAGAAGAAAAAUUAUAAAAGUUCAAGGACUAAAUCACUAAUUUUUAAAACUUGAUUCAGACCAAGGAUGGACAAUUAAAGAUAACAUGGAUCAAAAUCGACAAAAGUUGAAGUUAAAAGAUUCAUGAAAAGUAUAAAAGAGGACUCAAGCUAGAAAGAAGAAGAAAUUUAGGGACGAAAGUGAAGAAAAGCAAAAGUUAACGCCUUGCAAUCGAAAGGUGUAUACCUUACAAGUCAUCCGAAAUGAGUUGUAGACAAUUUAACAAAGCCGAGCAAUCUUAAUGGCCAUAACCAUGUCGUCACAUGAUUCAUUCCAACAAAAUAUAUUCUAUUUCCUUUUUUACCUCAAACUCUUUAUGGAGUGCAAUUCAUAUUUGUUUUUAUCUGACUUUGGAUACCAAAUUUCGAAGAACCAGGCUUUAGAGAGAAAACAAGAGGCAAGAUAAAAGAAUACUCAUUCCUAGGCGAAGAAAAAAAGAAGGUAAAAGGAGAUUGUUCAAGAAUGGUUAAGGAAAUUCAAGAAUUCGUAGCUUUUCCUCUUUUCCUUUCCAUAAUUAAAAUUCGGGUGAUGUAUCAACAUUCAAAUAUGAAUUUUUCUAACUUUAUAAUGUUUGGCUAAAUUACUAUUCACUAGGAUGAAAAUUGAACCCUAUUAUUAGGAAGUUUUAGUUUCAACUUUGAGAUCGUGACAUUUGAUUCUUGAUUAUCAUGAAUGAUUAUUAUAGUCUUAAUGCUUUCAAUUACUUAGCUAAUAAUUGAAUUGAUUUGUAAUCUAUUAAUAUUAACUCUAAUUGAAUAGCAUAAUAUGAUUGUACUGGUUUUAUAACUAGUUAUCUGAAAACUAAACGAAUGAACAACUAAGAGACAUCUAUAAACUCAAUUAAUGACAAGCUCUAGAAAUUUGAAUCCCCCUCUAUUAAUCAAUUUCAACAACAAUUCAAGACAAUGACAAUACUUGUUUAAUCUUGACGAUUAAUUCACCAAUUAUAUUAACGACAAGCACUGAAAUUUUGAAUCCCCCUUUAUUAAUCCAUUUCAACAAUAGUUCAAGACGAUGACUAAAAUUUUGAUAAUUAAAUAUCAAUUAUUUUUUUAAUCUAUAUUGAGUAAUACUAAGCUUAUAUCUUUAUGAAGUUGCACAUGUGUGUAGAUGUAUUAAAUCAAUGACAUUCAAUUAAAUCAUGGCUCAAAACAUUUCAAGAUGCACCCAAGACCAGUAGAUGCGCCUAGGAAUACUUGAAAUGACUAAAAGGGUCACGAUACUCAUACGGUGAAGAACAAGUAAACGGUGUUAAUUCAUUCGACGAUAGGUGUUCCUAUUUCAUUUACUACAUUUGAAACCGCUUCCGAUGUAUUAUUUGACGGACCCAGAUUAAGGUUUCGCUCGAGAUUGUAAUUUACACUGGAUAGUGUUGUGUCGAAAUGUUGAAAUCAUAACGACACCAUUGUCAUUCCAGUACGAGGAUGAGGAUGAGGAUAAGGAUAUCUAUAUCAUUAUGGAUCAAAAAUCUUCGAAAGGUGUCCAGACCAGUGGGCUUACCUUGAAAUACUUAAAAAUGACUAAAAGAGUAUGAGAAGCAGGUUCACGCGCACUCGAACGAUGAAGAACAAGAAAAAUUGGUUUUGAUUUAACAAAGAGAAGAAAAAUCAGCAGUUUGCAAAUAGUCCAAGCCCUUCCACUCCAUCAUAAAAUUGGUUUUGAAUUAACGAAGAGAAGAAUUAGCAGUUAUGCCUUGCGCUAUAGCGGCAACAUCAAACUCUCCCAUGUUUAAUCCGUCCUUAAAAAAUGUAUGGCCCAUUUUCUGCAAGAUCGUCACCUCUCCUCCUCCGAUGAAAACUGGCCCAAAAGGCUAAAGAAGAAAAAUUAUAAAAGUUCAAGGACUAAAUCACUAAUUUUUAAAACUUGAUUCAGACCAAGGAUGGACAAUUAAAGAUAACAUGGAUCAAAAUCGACAAAAGUUGAAGUUAAAAGAUUCAUGAAAAGUAUAAAAGAGGACUCAAGCUUGAAAGAAGAAGAAAUUUAGGGACGAAAGUGAAGAAAAGCAAAAGUUAACGCCUUGCAAUCGAAAGGUGUAUACCUUACAAGUCAUCCGAAAUGAGUUGUAGACAAUUUAACAAAGCCGAGCAAUCUCAAUGGCCAUAACCAUGUCGUCACAUGAUUCAUUCCAACAAAAUAUAUUCUAUUUCCUUUUUUACCUCAAACUCUUUAUGGAGUGCAAUUCAUAUUUGUUUUUAUCUGACUUUGGAUACCAAAUUUCGAAGAACCAGGCUUUAGAGAGAAAACAAGAGGCAAGAUAAAAGAAUACUCAUUCCUAGGCGAAGAAAAAAAGAAGGUAAAAGGAGAUUGUUCAAGAAUGGUUAAGGAAAUUCAAGAAUUCGUAGCUUUUCCUCUUUUCCUUUCCAUAAUUAAAAUUCGGGUGAUGUAUCAACAUUCAAAUAUGAAUUUUUCUAACUUUAUAAUGUUUGGCUAAAUUACUAUUCACUAGGAUGAAAAUUGAACCCUAUUAUUAGGAAGUUUUAGUUUCAACUUUGAGAUCGUGACAUUUGAUUCUUGAUUAUCAUGAAUGAUUAUUAUAGUCUUAAUGCUUUCAAUUACUUAGCUAAUAAUUGAAUUGAUUUGUAAUCUAUUAAUAUUAACUCUAAUUGAAUAGCAUAAUAUGAUUGUACUGGUUUUAUAACUAGUUAUCUGAAAACUAAACGAAUGAACAACUAAGAGACAUCUAUAAACUCAAUUAAUGACAAGCUCUAGAAAUUUGAAUCCCCCUCUAUUAAUCAAUUUCAACAACAAUUCAAGACAAUGACAAUACUUGUUUAAUCUUGACGAUUAAUUCACCAAUUAUAUUAACGACAAGCACUGAAAUUUUGAAUCCCCCUUUAUUAAUCCAUUUCAACAAUAGUUCAAGACGAUGACUAAAAUUUUGAUAAUUAAAUAUCAAUUAUUUUUUUAAUCUAUAUUGAGUAAUACUAAGCUUAUAUCUUUAUGAAGUUGCACAUGUGUGUAGAUGUAUUAAAUCGAUGACAUUCAAUUAAAUCAUGGCUCAAAACAUUUCAAGAUGCACCCAAGACCAGUAGAUGCGCCUAGGAAUACUUGAAAUGACUAAAAGGGUCACGAUACUCAUACGGUGAAGAACAAGUAAACGGUGUUAAUUCAUUCGACGAUAGGUGUUCCUACUUCAUUUACUACAUUUGAAACCGUUUGCGAUGUAUUAUUUUUCGGAGCCAGAUUAAGGUUUCGCUCGAGAUUGUAAUUUACACUGGAUAGUGUUGUGUCGAAAUGUUGAAAUCAUAACGACACCAUUGUCAUUCCAGUACGAGGAUGAGGAUGAGGAUAAGGAUAUCUAUAUCAUUAUGGAUCAAAAAUCUUCGAAAGGUGUCCAGACCAGUGGGCUUACCUUGAAAUACUUAAAAAUGACUAAAAGAGUAUGAGAAGCAGGUUCUCGCGCACUCGAACGGUGAAGGACAAGAAAAAUUGGUUUUGAUUUAACAAAGAGAAGAAAAAUCAGCAGUUUGCAAAUAGUCCAAGCCCUUCCACUCCAUCAUAAAAUUGGUUUUGAAUUAACGAAGAGAAGAAUUAGCAGUUAUACCUUGCGCUAUAGCGGCAACAUCAAACUCUCCCAUGUUUAAUCCGUCCUUAAAAAAUGUAUGGCCCAUUUUCUGCAAGAUCGUCACCUCUCCUCCUCCGCUGUCGUUUUCACUAUUGGCUUUAGCUAUCAAAUAACCAUUCAACAAUAAAGAUGAAGAUGGGUCAUCGAAGGUGAUGGCUUUGAACCAGAAACAGCCGGCAAGGAUUGAAAUUCCAAUAUUGAAUAUGGGUUUUGAAAAUAUUAAGAUGGACGAAGAUAAGGAUGUUGAUAGGUUGAGUGAGGUGGAGGUGGAAAGUGAGGGGUAUUCGGUUUAGGUGGAGUUAUGGAGGAUCGGUAUUCGGCUAUUCCAGAUCUUCAAGGGGAUAUUAAACGGGUGUG